UACGUAGGGGGCUAGCGUUGUCCGGAAUCAUUGGGCGUAAAGCGCGUGUAGGCGGCCCGGUAAGUCCGCUGUGAAAGUCCAGGGCUCAACCCUGGGAUGCCGGUGGAUACUGUCGGGCUCGAGUCCGGAAGAGGCGAGUGGAAUUCCUGGUGUAGCGGUGAAAUGCGCAGAUAUCAGGAGGAACACCAAUGGCGAAGGCGACACGCUGGGCCGUACCUGACACUGAUGCGCGACAGCAUGGGGAGCAAACAGG
rnacentral:rRNA from 1 species